GACGAACGCUGGCGGCGUGCUUAACACAUGCAAGUCGAACGGAAAGGCCUGCAGCUUGCUGCGGGUACUCGAGUGGCGAACGGGUGAGUAACACGUGGGUGAUCUGCCUUGCACUUCGGGAUAAGCUUGGGAAACUGGGUCUAAUACCGGAUAGGACAGCUGUUUAGUGUCAGUUGUGGAAAGUUUUUUCGGUGCAAGAUGAGCUCGCGGCCUAUCAGCUUGUUGGUGGGGUAAUGGCCUACCAAGGCGUCGACGGGUAGCCGGCCUGAGAGGGUGUACGGCCACAUUGGGACUGAGAUACGGCCCAGACUCCUACGGGAGGCAGCAGUGGGGAAUAUUGCACAAUGGGCGGAAGCCUGAUGCAGCGACGCCGCGUGGGGGAUGAAGGCCUUCGGGUUGUAAACUCCUUUCGACAGGGACGAAGCUUUUGUGACGGUACCUGUAUAAGAAGCACCGGCUAACUACGUGCCAGCAGCCGCGGUAAUACGUAGGGUGCGAGCGUUGUCCGGAAUUACUGGGCGUAAAGAGCUCGUAGGUGGUUUGUCGCGUCGUCUGUGAAAUUCCGGGGCUUAACUCCGGGCGUGCAGGCGAUACGGGCUGACUUGAGUGCUGUAGGGGAGACUGGAAUUCCUGGUGUAGCGGUGAAAUGCGCAGAUAUCAGGAGGAACACCGAUGGCGAAGGCAGGUCUCUGGGCAGUAACUGACGCUGAGGAGCGAAAGCAUGGGUAGCGAACAGGAUUAGAUACCCUGGUAGUCCAUGCCGUAAACGGUGGGCGCUAGGUGUAGGGGGCUUCCACGUCUUCUGUGCCGUAGCUAACGCAUUAAGCGCCCCGCCUGGGGAGUACGGCCGCAAGGCUAAAACUCAAAGGAAUUGACGGGGACCCGCACAAGCAGCGGAGCAUGUGGUUUAAUUCGAAGCAACGCGAAGAACCUUACCAGGGCUUGAUAUACUGAGGACGUAUUUAGAGAUAAAUAUUCCUCUUCGGAGGCCUCAAUACAGGUGGUGCAUGGUUGUCGUCAGCUCGUGUCGUGAGAUGUUGGGUUAAGUCCCGCAACGAGCGCAACCCUUAUCUUUAGUUGCCAGCAUUUCGGAUGGGAACUCUAAAGAGACUGCCGAUGAUAAAUCGGAGGAAGGUGGGGAUGACGUCAAAUCAUCAUGCCCUAUAUGCCCUGGGCUACACACGUGCUACAAUGGAAGGUACAAAGGGAAGCAAGAUAGCGAUAUUAAGCAAACCUCAAAAAGCCUUUCCCAGUUCGGAUUGUACUCUGCAACUCGAGUACAUGAAGAUGGAGUUGCUAGUAAUCGCAGAUCAGAAUGCUGCGGUGAAUGCGUUCCCGGGUCU
rnacentral:rRNA from 1 species